UUGAAAACAAAAAAGUGAUUUUAUCAUUUUUCAUCCGGUGAACUUGUCCAAUUUUUUUUGUGAUGCUGUUUGGCGGUCACUGCUUCGGCGGCGCCGCCAUCAGUAUUCCUUAUUAUACCCUUUUUAUUAUACUAAAGAGUCUGAAGAUUUCAUAAACAAAAAAUGAAA
rnacentral:misc_RNA from 1 species